UACGUAGGGUGCAAGCGUUGUCCGGAUUUAUUGGGCGUAAAGAGCUCGUAGGCGGCUUUGUAAGUCGGGUGUGAAAACCACAGGCUUAACCUGUGGACGCCACUCGAUACUGCAAUAGCUAGAGUUUGGUAGGGGAUCACGGAAUUCCUGGUGUAGCGGUGAAAUGCGCAGAUAUCAGGAGGAACACCGGUGGCGAAGGCGGUGAUCUGGGCCAAUACUGACGCUGAGGAGCGAAAGCGUGGGGAGCGAAUGGG
rnacentral:rRNA from 1 species